rnacentral:rRNA from 1 species
CACGGAGUUAGCCGAUCCUUAUUCUUACGGUACCGUCAAGCCUCUUCACGAAGAGGUGUUUCUUCCCGUACAAAAGCAGUUUACACACCAUAGAUGCUUCAUCCUGCACGCGGCAUGGCUGGUUCAGGCUUGCGCCCAUUGACCAAUAUUCCUCACUGCUGCCUCCCGUAGGAGUCUGGUCCGUGUCUCAGUACCAGUGUGAGGGAUCUCCCUCUCAGGACCCCUACCCAUCAUAGCCUUGGUAUGCCGUUACCAUACCAACUAGCUAAUGGGACGCAUGCUCAUCUUACACCAAUAAAUCUUUAAUAAUAAUGUGAUGCCACAUCAAUAUACUAUAAGGUAUUAAUCCAAAUUUCUCUGGGCUAUCCCUUAGUGUAAGGCAGAUUGCAUACGCGUUACGCACCCGUGCGCCGGUCUCAAAAUCCGAAGACUUCUACCCCUCGACUUGCAUGUGUUAGGCCUGCCGCUAGCGUUCAU